rnacentral:rRNA from 1 species
UACGUAGGGGGCAAGCGUUGUCCGGAAUCAUUGGGCGUAAAGCGUGCGCAGGCGGUUUUGUAAGCCAGAUGUGAAAGCCCCGGGCUUAACCUGGGAAUGGCAUUUGGGACUGCAAGGCUGGAGUUUGGCAGAGGAGACUGGAAUUCCUGGUGUAGCAGUGAAAUGCGUAGAUAUCAGGAGGAAUACCGAUGGCGAAGGCAGGUCUCUGGGCUAUAACUGACGCUCAUGCACGAAAGCGUGGGGAGCAAACAGG